UACAGAGGUCUCAAGCGUUGUUCGGAUUCAUUGGGCGUAAAGGGUGCGUAGGCGGCGCGGUAAGUCGGGUGUGAAAUCUCGGGGCUUAACUCCGAAACUGCAUUCGAUACUGCCGUGCUUGAGGACUGGAGAGGAGACUGGAAUUUACGGUGUAGCGGUGAAAUGCGUAGAUAUCGUAAGGAAGACCAGUGGCGAAGGCGGGUC
rnacentral:rRNA from 1 species